AGCGAACGCUGGCGGCAGGCCUAACACAUGCAAGUCGAACGAAGUCUUCGGACUUAGUGGCGGACGGGUGAGUAACACGUGGGAACGUACCUUUUGGUUCGGAACAACGCAGGGAAACUUGAGCUAAUACCGGAUGAGCCCUUAGGGGGAAAGAUUUAUCGCCGAAAGAGCGGCCCGCGUUAGAUUAUCUAGUUGGUGAGGUAAAGGCUCACCAAGGCUACGAUCUAUAGCUGGUCUGAGAGGAUGAUCAGCCACACUGGGACUGAGACACGGCCCAGACUCCUACGGGAGGCAGCAGUGGGGAAUCUUGCGCAAUGGGCGAAAGCCUGACGCAGCCAUGCCGCGUGAAUGAUGAAGGUCUUAGGAUUGUAAAAUUCUUUUACCAGGGACGAUAAUGACGGUACCUGGAGAAAAAGCCCCGGCUAACUUCGUGCCAGCCGCCGCAGUAAUAC
rnacentral:rRNA from 1 species